GAAGCAGUCGUUGUGCCACUGGCGCUCUUCAAACGAGAUGUACUUACUGCCACCCAGACCUGAGAGAACGGGGAGAGAUGAACACAUGCUGUUAUCAAAAGAUCAGUGAUUGGGGAAGGAGGAAAGGUGGAGAACUUUAGUAAGGAUUCAAACAGGGCCACAGUGUACAGCGUGAUUGGGCCCAUCCCUGGGUUACACCAGAGCCCAGCUGAUCCCCUGGAAGGGGAACCUUUUCAACCUUUGAACCGGCCAGAGCUCCAGUACACUGACAUGGAUCCCUUGAUAGAAAUUGCUUUGAUGGACCGGCCGUGACACAAGGUCACAAGGAGGAGGGAUUCAAAUUCGCAAUCAGAGGGUUGACCACAACAGAGAGGACAUCCAUACUGAAAUGGGUAUAUCCAAGAGGUUACUCGUAUCAUAUACACACAUCUCCUCUCCAGGGUUGACCACAACAGAGAGGACAUCCAUACUGAAAUGGGUAUACCCAAGAGGACACUCGUAUAUCAUAUACACACAUCUCCUCUCCAGGGUUGACCACAACAGAGAGGACAUCCAUACUGAAAUGGGUAUACCCAAGAGGACACUCGUAUAUCAUAUACACACAUCUCCUCUCCAGGGUUGACCACAACAGAGAGGACAUCCAUACUGAAAUGGGUAUACCCAAGAGGUUACUCGUAUCAUAUACACACAUCUCCUCUCCAGGGUUGACCACAACAGAGAAGACAUCCAUACUGAAAUGGGUAUACCCAAGAGGAUACUCGUAUAUCAUAUACACACAUCUCCUCCCACCAGCCUCCUCUGGUGUCAAUGCAUACUGAGCAUGUUAUCCACCUCUCGCUUCAUGCCAUAGCGGUUGUUCUCUCUGUACAAAUUUGUCUCUUAAAAACACUGGGAUUAAAUUCAAUCUACAUCAGGCUAGUUAUAUUAGAUUUGAUAUUAUACUGAACAAAAAUAUAAACGCAACAUAUAAAGUGUUUGUACCAUGUUUCGAGAGCUAAAAUAAAAGAUCCCGGAAGUUUUCCAUGUGCACAAAAAGCUUAUUUCUCUCCAAUUUAGUUAAAAAAUGUGUUUACAUCGCUGUUAGUGAGCAUUUCUCCUUUGCCAAGGUUAUCCAUCCACCUGACAGGUGUGGCAUAUCAAGAAGUUGUUUGAACAGCAUGAUCAUUACACUGUAAAAUGUGCAGUUUUUUAACACAACACAAUGUCACAGAUGUCUUAAGUUUUGAGGGAGUGUGCAAUUGGCAUGCUGACUGUUGUGCCAUUCAUCCACCGCCAUCACCUCAUGUUUCAACAUGAUAAAUCACUGCCCCAUGUCUCCCAGUUCUUCCAUGGCCUGCAUACUCACCAGACAUGUCACCCAUUAAUAAGCAUGUUUGGGAUGCUCUGGAAUGACGUGUACGACAGUGUGUUCCCACCAAAUAUCCAGAAACUUCACACUUCCAUUGAAGAGGAGUGGGACAACAUUCCACAGGCCACAAUCAACAGCCUGAUCAACUCUAUGCGAAGGAGAGAUUGCGCUGAAGGAGAGAUCGCCCUGAAUGAGGCAAAUGGUCGUCACACCAGAUACAGACUGGUUUUCUGAUCCACGCCCCUAUCUUUUUUUAAGGAAUCUCUGACUAACAGAUGCAUUAUCUGUAUUCCCAGUCAUUAUCUGUAUUCCCAGUCAUUAUCUGUAUUCCCAGUCAUUAUCUGUAUUCCCAGUCAUUAUCUGUAUUCCCAGUCAUGUGAGAUCUAAAGAUUAGGGCCUAAUGAAUUUAUUUCAAUUGACUGAUUUCCUUAUAUGAACUGUAACUGUAAAAUCAUUGAAAUGGUUGAAUGUUGAGUUUAUGUUUUUUGUCACAAUGGAAACAGUCAAUAUGGGCAUCUCAUAUGACUGCCUUCAUUCAAUGUAACUUGAUUUAGUUUUAUCUGUAAAGAAUGUGUGCCAUAUAUAAACAA